UACGGAGGGGACUAGCGUUGUUCGGAAUUACUGGGCGUAAAGCGCACGUAGGCGGAUUUGUAAGUCAGGGGUGAAAUCCCGGGGCUCAACCCCGGAACUGCCUUUGAUACUGCGAAUCUCGAGUCCGGAAGGGGUGAGUGGAAUUCCUAGUGUAGAGGUGAAAUUCGUAGAUAUUAGGAAGAACACCAGUGGCGAAGGCGGCUCACUGGCUCGAUACUGACGCUGAGGUGCGAAAGCGUGGGGAGCAAACAGG
rnacentral:rRNA from 1 species